GUGGGCCGUAGUUUGAGGAUGCCUGCUUUAGAGGCUUUCUCCCCUCCUACUGCUACUGCCUUCUCUCCCCGUCCUCUCAACAAUGACACGUCCUCACUUCUUCAACUUUGGCUCAUAUACCUUGAAAUUUAGAUUACACCCUUAGCAUGCAGCUAAAUUUCUCUCUCAAUGGAUACAGGAGAGGGAACUACACUCAGCUAAGUCCCACGCUGCUGCUUAACACACAUCGUUAUAGGUAAUCUACACCUGACAUAAAACAGGCUCUCGAUGCGGGUGCCUUACUCCGUCAUACAAUCCAGUACUCUUCCUAGCCUGGCAUGCCCCGGCACAUCUGGGGGUAGAACACCCUCCUGCUGUGACUGUCAGGGCAGUGAUUCUCAGUGGUGGUGGGGAGAUAUUUGUUCCAGAAGCCCAGGGGAGUCUGAUACCAACCCCAGACUGUAUCCUUGCCCCUGCUGCAUCCUGCAAGACCUGCUCCCAGACACCACAGCGUCCUGGCCCCCCGGGCCUCUGCCCCCUCCCUAACCACGGGCCUCCCUCACCUUCUUCUGCCCUACUCUCCAUGUGCCUCCUGUCCACACCCUCCUGGGUUUUAGUCCACAGCAUCUCCACCAUGAUGAGCGUAUGUCUUUGCAGGGGACUCUGAAGGCUCUGGGUUUAGGAGCCCUGACUUUUCCCAGACCAACAGGUGCCUGUUUCCAGCUGUUCCUCAACCCAACCCUAACGGAUCUGUGAAGGCCUCUUAAGGAGGGAACAACUGAAUUGGGUCUUGUGGGACAGACACCAAUAUCAGCGCCCUGGAGAAGAGGAGAGCAGGGCCUUCAGGGGGAAGGCCAGGGUGCGUAACACAGGACGCAGAGGCAGGGAGCCCUGGCGUGUUGGCAAAAUGUGUGACUGCUGGGGUAAGGAAGUGGGCGAGGCAAGAAUGAUGCCAGAGAAAAUGCCACCCUGCCAGCUAAGAAGUAGCUACAAGAGGAUCUAGUGAUAUGGCCAAGGCAGAAAAUGUCCACAAACUAACAUCUGGCCCCACUGGCAAAGUGCCUGUAGGAGUCACUGUGGGGAUGUUAACACGCUCCAGGGCCUGCCUCUAGGGCAGCCCCACCCCUGCAGGACAUGGCAUGAGAGAGCAGGCAGGUGACGACUGUGAUGGGCUCAGGGCGAGGCAGUGGGUCAGCAUGGAGGUCACAGAAGGAGUUGAGCGGCAUAUACUGUCACCCGCCAUGCCAGGCCCACACUGCCAACCGCUCCUGCUCUCAGUGCCCAGGCCUGCUCCUCCAGCUGCUCCAGGGAGGUCCUGGGGCUCCCGAGAAUACUGAAGGGUUAACAGGACGGGGGAGGGACUCGCUUCUUUCCCCACAACCUGAGACUUCUGCAGAGGUUUCACCUGGCGUGCUCUGCCGCUUUACCUGGAAUGCCCUGUGCACCGUCACUUGCUAAAUCUGCACCUCCUUCACGGCCCGGCGCCUCUCCUGCCGCCUCGGCUGAGGGUAAUUAUUCCCUCCACGCUGCCUUCGACCCACGCACCUGACACGUAGCUCCGGGUCGUUCCGCUGGCAUUUCUGUUUCUUCUUCUUUCCUCAUGUGAGACGGCAAGUUCCCUGACACAAGGACCUUUCCAAGGAGCAUAGUGUGUGGCCUGCUCUCCCCACACGUGCUGGGUGCCGUGUCUAUGCAGAACAGAUGUGCAACCAGAGUUGAGUGAAUGGCAGGUGCCCCCAGGCAAUUCAUGCAAACACGUGCUCUCGGCGCAAUCCCGGGCAGGGCUGACAGCAGCAAACACCAGGAGAGCCCCCAUCCCCUGUCUCAUGGCUUGGAGCAUUCUUGAGUGGGGGAAGCAGCAGAGGGCAGCAGACUCUGGAUGAUGGGGACAGAAAAGACAGUCUUGCCCUCUCAGAACCAGCGGCUUCUCUGUAGCAAGGGACAAGGGUCCCAGGCAAGAUCUUGAGGAUGCAGGGAACAGGCGAUGCACUUACGUGAGGAGUGGGCACAGAACAAGCCCAGGACCAGGGCUUCGGAGAGCUGUCAGGUAGCCGUGAGCAAGUCCUCAUUUCCCAUAUCUUCUGUUUCCUCCUCAGUGAAAGGGGCAUCAGACAGUACCCGCCUCCCAGAGAGCUGGGAAGACGACAUGAGACUGCGUCUGUAAGACACCACAGUCUAGCACAAUGUGCGCAGCAAGUGUGGUCUGUGGUCAGCUGGGUGAAUGUUCGGCAACAGGCUCUCCAAAAAUAAAUUACCUCUAUCCAUCCAUAAAGAGGCAGAGCCAGAAACCUAAAAUGGUUUUCUCCAAAUAGAAAACAUUGAUUAUCUGGGAAAAGGGAAUAAAUGUUGGUGAUUAUUUUUUA